GCCCGGGUAGUCUAGUGGUUUAUGAUUCUCGCUUUGGGCUUACAACUCAACCUGCGAGAGGUCCCGCGUUCGAGUCGCGGCUCGGGCC